rnacentral:rRNA from 1 species
CGAACGAUGAACCACUUCGGUGGGGAUUAGUGGCGAACGGGUGAGUAACACGUGGGCAAUCUGCCCUGCACUCUGGGACAAGCCCUGGAAACGGGGUCUAAUACCGGAUACUGACCACUACAGGCAUCUGUGGUGGUGGAAAGCUCCGGCGGUGCAGGAUGAGCCCGCGGCCUAUCAGCUUGUUGGUGAGGUAACGGCUCACCAAGGCGACGACGGGUAGCCGGCCUGAGAGGGCGACCGGCCACACUGGGACUGAGACACGGCCCAGACUCCUACGGGAGGCAGCAGUGGGGAAUAUUGCACAAUGGGCGCAAGCCUGAUGCAGCGACGCCGCGUGAGGGAUGACGGCCUUCGGGUUGUAAACCUCUUUCAGCAGGGAAGAAGCGAAAGUGACGGUACCUGCAGAAGAAGCGCCGGCUAACUACGUGCCAGCAGCCGCGGUAAUACGUAGGGCGCGAGCGUUGUCCGGAAUUAUUGGGCGUAAAGAGCUCGUAGGCGGCUUGUCGCGUCGGUUGUGAAAGCCCGGGGCUUAACCCCGGGUCUGCAGUCGAUACGGGCAGGCUAGAGUUCGGUAGGGGAGAUCGGAAUUCCUGGUGUAGCGGUGAAAUGCGCAGAUAUCAGGAGGAACACCGGUGGCGAAGGCGGAUCUCUGGGCCGAUACUGACGCUGAGGAGCGAAAGCGUGGGGAGCGAACAGGAUUAGAUACCCUGGUAGUCCACGCCGUAAACGGUGGGCACUAGGUGUGGGCAACAUUCCACGUUGUCCGUGCCGCAGCUAACGCAUUAAGUGCCCCGCCUGGGGAGUACG